rnacentral:rRNA from 1 species
CACGUAGGGGGCGAGCGUUGUCCGGAUUUAUUGGGCGUAAAGAGCUCGUAGGCGGUUUGGCAAGUCGGGUGUGAAAUUUCGAGGCUCAACCUCGAAACGCCACUCGAUACUGCCAUGACUAGAGUUCGGUAGGGGAGACUGGAAUUCCUGGUGUAGCGGUGAAAUGCGCAGAUAUCAGGAGGAACACCGGUGGCGAAGGCGGGUCUCUGGGCCGAAACUGACGCUGAGGAGCGAAAGCGUGGGGAGCGAACAGG